rnacentral:sRNA from 1 species
AGGAGCCUGUUUUCUGACCACGGGAAAUAUGUUGAAUCUUUCCGGAGGUUUCUCAACCAUUCCACGGAACACCAGUGCAUGCAGGAAUUCAUGGACAAGAAGCUGCCAGGCAUAAUAGCAAGGUGAAAUUGAUCUUCAAAUUCUCUCCAAAGUUCAGGCUCAAUACCCAGGAGUUUGUAUCAACAAUGAAGUUGUUGAGCCAAGUGCUGAACAAAUUGCCAAAUACAAAGGGCUUGUAGCCAAGACAUCAAACCUCGAGAACGUAAAGUUUGCUUGGCAUAAGGAGACAUCAUCUGAAUAUCAAAGUAGAAUAUUGGAGAAAAAGGAGCUUCAGAAGUGGGACUUUAUUCAUAUGAUUCAGAUGCUGUAUUAUGUAAAAGACAUCCCAGCUACCCUGAAAUUCUUCCAUAGUCUCUUAGGUACCAAUGCUAAGAUGCUCAUUAUUGUUGUGUCAGGAAGCAGUGGCUGGGACAAGCUGUGGAAAAAGUAUGGAUCACGCUUUCCCCAGAAUGACCUCUGCCAGUAUGUCACAUCAGAUGACCUCACUCAGAUGCUGGACAACCUAGGGCUUAAGUAUGAGUGCUAUGACCUUUUUUCCACCAUGGACAUAUCUGACUGCUUUAUUGAUGGUAAUGAAAAUGGAGACCUGCUUUGGGAUUUUUUGACCGAAACCUG